rnacentral:rRNA from 1 species
GAACUAUAGAGUUUGAUCCUGGCUCAGAUUGAACGCUGGCGGCAUGCCUUACACAUGCAAGUCGAACGGCAGCACGGGAGCAAUCCUGGUGGCGAGUGGCGAACGGGUGAGU